rnacentral:tRNA from 1 species
UGGCUCAGUGGUAAAGAAUCUGCCUGCAAUGCAGAAUACCUGGGUUCAAAUCCUGG